UACGAAGGGGGCGAGCGUUGUUCGGAUUUACUGGGCGUAAAGGGCGCGCAGGCGGCUCAUUUUGUCAGGCGUGAAAGCCCCGGGCUUAACCUGGGAACUGCGUUUGAUACGGGUGGGCUAGAGUUCGGGAGAGGAGAGUGGAAUUCCCAGUGUAGAGGUGAAAUUCGUAGAUAUUGGGAAGAGCACCGGUGGCGAAGGCGGCUCUCUGGACCGAUACUGACGCUGAGGCGCGAAAGCGUGGGGAGCAAACAGG
rnacentral:rRNA from 1 species